rnacentral:rRNA from 1 species
UACGGAGGUCUCAAGCGUUGUUCGGAUUCAUUGGGCGUAAAGGGUGCGUAGGCGGCGCGGUAAGUCGGGUGUGAAAUCUCGGAGCUUAACUCCGAAACUGCAUUCGAUACUGCCGUGCUUGAGGACUGGAGAGGAGACUGGAAUUUACGGUGUAGCGGUGAAAUGCGUAGAGAUCGUAAGGAAGACCAGUGGCGAAGGCGAGUUUCUGGACAGUUACUGACGCUGAGGCACGAAGGCCAGGGGAGCAAACGGG